AUUGAACGCUGGCGGCAGGCCUAACACAUGCAAGUCGAACGAGUGGCGGACGGGUGAGUAAUGUCUGGGAAACUGCCUGAUGGAGGGGGAUAACUACUGGAAAAGGUAGGUAAUACCGCAUACCAUCGGAUGUGCCCAUAUGGGAUUAGCUAGUAGGUGGGGUAACGGCUCACCUAGGCGACGAUCCCUAGCUGGUCUGAGAGGAUGACCGGCCACACUGGAACGGGGACAGGGUCAAGACUCCUACGGGAGGCAGCAGUGGGGAAUAGUGCACAAGGGGCGCAAUCCUGAUGCGGCCAGGCCGCGGGUAGGAAGAAGGCCUUCGGGUUGUAAAGUACGUUCAGCGGGGAGGCGUUACCCGCAGAAGAAGCACCGGCUAACUCCGUGCCAGCAGCCGCGGUAAUUC
rnacentral:rRNA from 1 species